rnacentral:rRNA from 1 species
UGGGGAAUUUUGGACAAUGGGGGAAACCCUGAUCCAGCCAUCCCGCGUGUGCGAUGAAGGCCUUCGGGUUGUAAAGCACUUUUGGCAGGAAAGAAACGUCAUGGGUUAAUACCCCGUGAAACUGACGGUACCUGCAGAAUAAGCACCGGCUAACUACGUGCCAGCAGCCGCGGUAAUACGUAGGGUGCAAUCGUUAAUCGGAAUUACUGGGCGUAAUGCUUGCGCAGGCGGUUCGGAAAGAAAGAUGAGAAAUCCCAGAGCUCAACUUUGGAACUGCAUUUUUAACUACCGGGCUAGAGUGUGUCAGAGGGAGGUGGAAUUCCGCGUGUAGCAGUGAAAUGCGUAGAUAUGCGGAGGAACACCGAUGGCGAAGGCAGCCUCCUGGGAUAACACUGACGCUCAUGCACGAAAGCGUGGGGAGCAAACAGG